GACGAACCGUGCGAACGUUGUUCGGAAUCACUGGGCUUAAAGGGCGCGUAGGCGGUCUGCCAAGUCCGGGGUGAAAGCCCCCAGCUCAACUGGGGAAGUGCCUUGGAUACUGGCGGACUCGAGGGAGGCAGGGGUUGUGGGAACUUCCGGUGGAGCGGUGAAAUGCGUUGAUAUCGGAAGGAACGCCGGUGGCGAAAGCGCACAACUGGUCCUCUUCUGACGCUGAGGCGCGAAAGCCAGGGGAGCAAACGGGG
rnacentral:rRNA from 1 species